rnacentral:rRNA from 1 species
GACGAACGCUGGCGGCGUGCUUAACACAUGCAAGUCGAACGAUGAAGCCGGAGCUUGCUCUGGUGAAUUAGUGGCGAACGGGUGAGUAACACGUGAGUAACCUGCCCUUGACUCUGGGAUAACUGCGGGAAACUGUAGCUAAUACCGGAUACUUUCACCGGAAGGCAUCUUCUGGUGAUGAAAGAAUUUCGGUCAGGGAUGAGCUCGCGGCCUAUCAGCUUGUUGGUGAGGUAACGGCUCACCAAGGCGACGACGGGUAACCGGCCUGAGAGGGUGACCGGUCACACUGGGACUGAGACACGGCCCAGACUCCUACGGGAGGCGGCAGUGGGGAAUAUUGCACAAUGGGCGCAAGCCUGAUGCAGCAACGCCGCGUGAGGGAUGAAGGCCUUCGGGUUGUAAACCUCUUUUAGCAGGGAAGAAGCGAAAGUGACGGUACCUGCAGAAAAAGCACCGGCUAACUACGUGCCAGCAGCCGCGGUAA